rnacentral:rRNA from 1 species
GUGGGGAAUAUUGGACAAUGGGCGCAAGCCUGAUCCAGCCAUGCCGCGUGAGUGAUGAAGGCCCUAGGGUUGUAAAGCUCUUUCACCGGAGAAGAUAAUGACGGUAUCCGGAGAAGAAGCUCCGGCUAACUUCGUGCCAGCAGCCGCGGUAAUACGAAGGGGGCUAGCGUUGUUCGGAAUUACUGGGCGUAAAGCGCACGUAGGCGGACAUUUAAGUCAGGGGUGAAAUCCCGGGGCUCAACCCCGGAACUGCCUUUGAUACUGGGUGUCUGGAGUAUGGAAGAGGUAAGUGGAAUUCCGAGUGUAGAGGUGAAAUUCGUAGAUAUUCGGAGGAACACCAGUGGCGAAGGCGACUUACUGGUCCAUUACUGACGCUGAGGUGCGAAAGCGUGGGGAGCAAACAGGAUUAGAUACCCCGGUAGUCC